ensembl:lncRNA
AUGAGGGAAAAUCUACCAUCUGGUGAGGCACCCCAUCCCACUUUUGCAAAGCGCCACCAUUAUUCUCCCCCCUCUAUAAUGAUUUUUUCACACCUCUUUAUGUUAUAUAAUUUCUUUCACUCCUGUAUUUGUUUUGUGGCAUUAUUUAUAUUGAUUAUAGGGGAUUCAGAUGGUGACCUUGAGCUUCUUUGCCUUACUCCAUCUUUGCCUUACUUGGCUCCUCUGCAAAAUCUUGUGAAGAUCCUGAUUAUGGCUCUGUGGUGUUUUAUCUCCUUCUGGAUGAUUGAGAUCCAACUUCCUCCUGCUCCUCCUGCUCCUGCUCCUGCUCCUGUUCUUGCUCUGGCCUGGGGUCCAGCUCUUGCUCCUAUUGCUGUUGCUAUUCCUGUUGCUGGUUGAUGCCACUGCUUCUUUAGAACACACUGGGAGUCCAAGCUGGGAGUCCUUGGAGGCAGUCUCCAGACAGCUGGUAAAAACUAGGAUGUGUUUCCCUUAGGCAAUAAUUAGCUUUCUAACUCCCUGUCCUCGUGGCAGGGGAAGAAAGCUGCUCCCUCAGUUUUACCCCAUGAGGGGUGAACUUUAUUUCCAAACAGGAAGUAAAAUUGCAAGCAUGACUUACUCUAUGAAAGAGCAGUACAUUGCUUAUUUCCAACAGCUCCCAGUUUUAGGAUGCUUUUCCUUCCUACCAUUCCUGGGUGUACUGAUCCUUGCGAUUAUCUUCUCUUAGAUUCAGGGGAGAAAUUCAUCUCCCUAUAACCCCUUGCCAUUUAGGCCUGCCCAGUUUCUAAGAUAUCCAGUUUCUAAGAAUCCAAUUUGGGAUUCCUCCACACUAUGUUCAUCGAAGAAUUCUCGCUCACUAUGGGAGAUUCCAGAGGUGUGACAAAAGGAACCUAAAUGGAUAGGGAAGGAACUUUAAAGAGUCUGGAGGUGAGAUUUUUAAGCUUUUUUAAUCUCCAUUUUUUAUAAAAGUCUCUGUAUCUUAUUUUAUUUUGCUGAUUGUCUUCUUUAAGAAUUUAUUUUGUUCUUUUAAGUUCAUAUAUUAAUCUGAUCAAUACUAUUCUGUUACACUGAAUCAUUUUAAUCUAAUGUGUUUUAGCUAUUAAAUGCAUUAUGUUACCUUUCUCCUAUAACUAUACUGAACAAAAUGUUGUAAAAGCCCAUAAACAGCCUUUUCUUCCAUUUUACCUUUGUUAAAUUGUCACAUAGAUGAUGAAUGGACUCCUUCCACCUUGUAUACAACCAUUGGAGGAUUUAAUGAUCUAAAUAUCUCAAAUUGAUUUUAAUGGGUCUUCAGACAUGAUUUUUGGAUUUUUUUCCCAAUAGCUCUGAUUUUUGAGACCCAGGCCUGAGGUAUUCCUGUCUAGGUGGAACAGUCAGGCAAAUAAUGAAGAGAUGAGAGAAAAUUGAGUGAUCAGACCUGUGCUUAGGCAUCAUGCAGUUGCUCUACCAGGCACAGAGUUCGUGUUUAUUAUAUAGCUUCAGUGAGUACAUGCUUUUCUAGCACACAAUCAUUUUUCAACAUAUGUGAUCAACUACAGAUAAUUAGAUGUGUCACACAUUAACAAAUCACUUAAUCAAGUCUGUGAUCAUUUACCAUGUUGCAACAACAGAGAUAUUUGUGAUGGAGAUGAAUGACAUAGGGUAAUCUGGAGGUUAGUUUCCCCUGACCUGUGAGAUAACCAGUUACGAGAAUCAUUAUUGCUUUUGACCAGUUUUCACUAUCAAUCACAAUUACUUAGGAGAUGGGUAACAAAACAGUUUGUAGCUAGGUACAGGGUUACAGGGUAUCUUAAAGCAGACCAGAAUUAGGAUUUUCCUCAAUUUCCAAGUUACAUUUUUCUCUUCCUCCCUCUGAGUUAUUUGUAAAAAAGAGUAUGACCUCAUGAAUAAACUUUCUGCCAAGCUCUCUGUGCCUAGCCUC